UACGAAGGGGGCUAGCGUUGCUCGGAAUUACUGGGCGUAAAGCGCACGUAGGCGGCUUGUUAAGUCGGGGGUGAAAUCCUGGAGCUCAACUCCAGAACUGCCUUCGAUACUGGCGAGCUCGAGUUCGGGGGAGGUGAGUGGAACUGCGAGUGUAGAGGUGAAAUUCGUAGAUAUUCGCAAGAACACCAGUGGCGAAGGCGGCUCACUGGCCCGAUACUGACGCUGAGGUGCGAAAGCGUGGGGAGCAAACAGG
rnacentral:rRNA from 1 species